GUUCCCGUAGCUCAGUGGAAUCAGAGCCGCCGGUUUCUACCCGGCUGGUCGUGGGUUCGAAUCCCACCGGGAGCA
rnacentral:tRNA from 2 species